rnacentral:rRNA from 1 species
GACGAACGCUGGCGGCGUGCCUAAUACAUGCAAGUCGAACGCAGUGGGGACGGGUGAGUAACACGUGGGUAACCUCCCAUCAGAGGGGAUAACACUUGGAAACAGGUGCUAAACCGAUACUGAUGGAUGGACCCGCGGUGCAUUAGCUAGUUGGUGAGGUAACGGCUCACCAAGGCCACGAUGCAUAGCCGACCUGAGAGUGUGAGACGCCACACUGGGACUGAGACACGGCCAAGACUCCAACGGGUGGGAGCAGUAGGGAAUCUUGGGCAAUGGGCGCAAGGCGGACCGAGCAACGCGGCGUGAGUGAAGAAGGUUUUCGGAUCGUAAAGCUCUGUAGUAAGGGAAGCGGUAAUUAACCAGAAAGCCACGGCUAACUACGUGCCAGCAGCCGCGGUAAUUC